ACAUGAAGGUGCGUUAUGGCGAUGAUGUGGCAUAGUUGCUAGAAUAGGAUCCUGUGUACACAGGUGUAGAGGUGUGAGCUUAGAUGGGUAGAGACACAGGUCUGAUGACUCAACCCAGUAUAUUUUCUCCGUUGGAGCGUCAGCUGGGACUUUCGACAUCGUAAAAUGGCAUAUCGGCAAAUGGCAACCAAUGGGAAUGGAUUGGAAGCUGACUUGGAUUUUCAUCCGGCUCUUGUUGUGGGUCAAGAACUAACCCGGUAGCAUCUUGAGUUUCGAGUAGGUUCAGGUGAUCAGACAACCUUCGGAAGGGUCACCAGGACGUUGCCCGUGGUCUAGUGAUGGCGGUGUGCCUAUUUGAUGACCAGAUGGUGACUCUAGUGAAGGGGCAAUGGCAGCGCUGUUUCUGGGUUCUUUGUUUCUCGAAGUUCUAUUUCUGGGUUUGAAUUUUUUUUUUAUAUAUAAUAAACAGUAAACUAAGGCAGAAUUUCGAAGCAGGUUAAAAAAGAGAUGGUUUGAAUUGGCUGUUAUGUUUGUAGGCUGUUUGGAAAAUUUGCAGGAAGCUAUGGAAAUUAGAUUGAAUUUAGACUUUGAUACCAAAA
rnacentral:misc_RNA from 1 species